CCUACGGGAGGCAGCAGUGGGAGAUAUUGCACAAUGGGGGAAACCCUGAUGCAGCGACGCCGCGUGUGGGAAGACGGUCCUCUGGAUUGUAAACCACUGUCCCCAGGGACGAAGAUGACGGUACCGGGGGAGGAAGCUCCGGCUAACUACGUGCCAGCAGCCGCGGUAAUACGUAGGGAGCGCGCGUUGUCCGGAAUUACUGGGUGUAAAGGGAGCGUAGGCGGGACUGCAAGUUGGGUGUAAAAUCUACCGGCUCAACCGGUAGCCGCACUCAAAACUGCAGUUCUUGAGUGAAGUAGAGGCAGGCGGAAUUCCUAGUGUAGCGGUGAAAUGCGUAGAUAUUAGGAGGAACACCAGUGGCGAAGGCGGCCUGCUGGGCUUUUACUGACGCUGAGGCUCGAAAGUGUGGGGAGCAAACAGGAUUAGAUACCCUUGUAGUC
rnacentral:rRNA from 1 species